AGAAACACGAAUUCCAAACGCACUCCAGAUCUGGUUGUCUUAAUCGGAUAAAGAGAAGUCCGUUUUUAGACGGAGUAACGCGUUUACAUGCACUUAAGUUCUCCAGUAAUAGUCCGAUUAAUUCAUAUUUUUCCCCCACGUGCAUGUAAAGUACUGACUGAUGCCAUAACGGUCAGUUACGAACGAGAUUAUUAACGUUUUACAAGAGGAAUAUUGUUUUAUUUUCAUGGACACGAGUUGCAUGUUUUUCCGAGUUGUUUUGAGAGGUCCAUGACGGAUGCGACCGGAGAAACUACUGUGAUUUUCUUUACCGAGGACUCGGACCUUCCCUAAUGUCCUGACCCGCAGUUCAGACGUGGCCCUGGAGGAGAAGAAAAGAGAAAAAGGUCUUUGAAGCGAAGCAGAUCUCUGCCAGCUUUAACAAAGCUGCGGCUCAAAGCUCCGAGAUGGAAAGAGGCUGCAGGCCUCACCUUCUGCCUCCAUGGGAGCCUGUGUAAAGGCUGAAAGGGAAAAUGAAAGAGGCCGCCACCUCCUCACAGCAGUGGGAGUGAGCUCCGUCCUCUGGGGGGCUGAGUAAGACGUCUUUGGUGGUUGAGGGAGCUUUUCUGGCAUCUGCACAGUGUUUCAACGCGACAGCUAAUUCUGUUACAGGAGGCAUAAACAGUUCUGUUCUUAUCGCAAACACAGACCCAGGACGUCGGCUGCUAUCGUCAUCGUUGUAUAACACUUUGGAUGCAACAGACAAAGGAAAGGCAAAGGAGGGAAGAGAACGACAGGGAGAGGGUGUGUAGGAUGUGUUGGGAGAACAGAGAGCGGCGAUACAUCACUGAUGAAUAUUUUAAACAGUCCCUGGUUACACGAAGAAAAAUGAAGACACUUUUUUUUCUAUACUGUGUCUGUAGUAAAAGGAUCUUAUGAAAAUUAGGACACAAAGACAUGCUCUGAGACUUAUUCCCAAAGAGAAACAGGUUUAACAGUGUUUAUAUCAUGUGCAAAGAAAUCUUCUGUAGUUAAGAUUGUGCACUUUGUUUUUUGCACAGUGCACAAUUAGCACAUUCUGUAUCACAUAUUUGACCCCACGUUUAAAAAUACUCUGCGGUAUCACUGUCUAGUGUGUCUAGUUGUCCUGUAUUUAUGACAGAUCUCCCAUCUCAUCACAUUUAUGUAUCAUAACUCAUUAUUUCCUUCUUAAGACUGAAUGACAGACAUGAUAUGACAGGGGUUGGCAGGUCAUCAACACUGUCCUCUUACUGUGUUGUCCAUCAGUCCAUGUGACUUAAGUGGUAUGAGCAGUGUAUUGACAAAGAUCAUUUCUGAUGUCAACUACGAACACCUGUUUUGUGUACAUUUUGUUACCAUCCUCACAUAUACCGAAUAUUGGUUCAUUCAAAUAAUAUUUAUUUGAAUGUGAUGUUUAAAAUGACCCAGUAUUCUGUCAUUUUGAAAUUUUUUGUUGAAUGAAUUGUGCACAUAAAACAGAGGUUGUCAAGGAGCCCCUGAGAAUAGCUGCACUGGGUAGUCUAUAAGUAAUCUUAGCAUAAUUGCCUGAGUCAUUUUUUGACACACUGUUACAAUAUCAA